CAUAUGUUGGUGUGCUAGUGAAGUCGGCAAACAUGCCUAUAAAUAGGUGUGUGUGUGUGUGUUGUAAGCAAGCAAGCAACCAAGAAAUCGAGAAGUGAAGAAGAAAAUAAGACUACAAGUCUUAUAGUGUGUUGAGUGUUUGUGAGAGUUGAGAGCUUUCUUUGUAAUAUUUUCCAUUAAAUAAAGUCUUUUGUUGUGUCUCAAAUUUUCGAGUGAAUUUCUUCUUUGACAUAUAAAAUUUAGAGUUGUUUAUUCUAAAUUUUUCUCAACAGUUCCAAGUCUCUAACUUGUAAUUAAUAUCCUUAUUGUAUUAGUCAACAAACUCCGCCGUGUAAGUUUAUCUUACAUUGCCGGUCCCAAGCCCGGAUAAAGGACGAGGGGGAGGGCGUCAGGUAGUCGACAGCCGGCACUCCAUGAUUACGUCGAAUCCUUAUGAAAAAUUGUAUUAAUUCAACAGGCAAAGCUAAUGUUCCAGCUGCAAGUGCAAAAGCCACAGCUCUUGAGAGACCUAGUGGUUUCAAAUCUGAUCGACACCCUCCUCUCAAGAGUUUGCCAUCCCAGUUUAUCAAGAAACACCUUGACCGGACUGUUGGUUAUGUCAUCCUUCGGGUUUUGGGUGGAAGAACUUGGUGUGUCAAAUUCGAACAAUAUGACACCGGAAGAUUGCAGAUUGCUGGGAGGUUGGAAGCAAUUUGUGCGAGAGAACAGUUUGGCAAUUGGCGAUGAGUGUGUCUUUACUGUGAUUAACACCACCAAACCUUUGUUUGAUGUUGUCAUUUCCCGGCAGCGGAUAGAAUGCUGCGACUUGCAACGUGAAUAACUGAAGGAGAAGACUGAAUCUGAAUAUUGCACCAUGAGUGACUGCUACCAAGGUGAAUUGAGUAUUAAGAGCAGAGGAACAAAGUGUCUGUAAAUUUAAUGAUGUGCAAACAUAAAUACCCCUAAGUUGAGUCUAUACGUUGUGCCUCCUGAUCCCUUUCGAAAGAUCAAUCUAGAAUCUUAUAUGUUGUGUUUUAUAUUUCAGUUGUCAUUUUGAACAGUUCAUCUUAAUAGGAAUACUCUAUUGUGAGAGUAAGGAUUAUUUAGUGGCAUGUGAAGUUGUGUGACUAC